UGAACGCUGGCGGCGUGCUUAACACAUGCAAGUCGUACGAGAACGCUUCAGCUUGCUGAAGCUAGUAAAGUGGCGUACGGGUGAGUAACGCGUGGGUAAUCUACCUCUGAAUUGGGGAUAACAUUGCGAAAGCGAUGCUAAUACCGGAUAAUAUCCAUUAAACCUCGGUUUUUUGGAUCAAAGGUGGCCUCUACAUGUAAGCUACUGUUUGGAGACGAGCCCGCGUACCAUUAGCUCGUUGGUAGGGUAACGGCUUACCAAGGCAACGAUGGUUAGCUGGUCUGAGAGGAUGAUCAGCCACACUGGAACUGACACACGGUCCAGACUCCUACGGGAGGCAGCAGUGAGGAAUUUUGCGCAAUGGGGGAAACCCUGACGCAGCAACGCCGCGUGAGUGAUGAAGGCUUUCGGGUCGUAAAGCUCUGUCAAGUGGGAAGAACCCGCGCCGCACAAAUAGUGUGGUGCGCUGACGGUACCACUGAAGGAAGCACCGGCUAACUCC
rnacentral:rRNA from 1 species